GCCCUGCUCCCUCGGACAGGGAAGCUGGCAGGGAAUAGGCGGGGCGAGCUGGGGCUCAGCCAGCAGACCCCGGAUUCGGAUGACUGUGGUCAGGAACCAGUAAGAACCCUUCCUUUGCGCAUUCCCUCGGCUUUGCCUUUGCCCGCCCGCGGGCUUCGUGCCCCGCGCCGGACCUGCACACAGUGGAGCUCGGCGCCUGUUGCUCUUCUUAAUUCUCUUCCAGCCUGAGAGCUCCUGAGGGCACCGUGUGCAGGCGGGGUAUGACCUCCAACCGAACUGCGGGACCUGUCAGGGUCCCAGAUGAGGCCAGGCGCCGCUGCUUGUGAGGUUGGGGUCCCCCUUAGUCUGUGUCCUUGGCACUACAAGCAGAUGAGAAUGGGGCAGCUGGUCUCUCGUUUACCCUGAAGCCUCAGGUAACACCUCUUCCAAAGCUGUCGCCACAGCUCCAGGCACAGAGACAGCCGGGACCGUGCGUCUAGUUGGCAGCUGGCCAGGGUUCCAGGGCCGGGCCCGAAGAUGACGAGUGCUCUUGUGACCACUGAGUAAUGACGACAAAGAAGCCCUACUGAACUCCGUUCCGGCCAGGACAGCGAUGGGGCUCAGGGGAGAGAGUGACCAUGUCCCAUGGCCUGAGGUCCCCGGCGUACAAGCAGGCGUGGGCAAGGAGACCUGCUACCAGGAAACAACUCCUGAGACAGUCCUCAGUAGCAGAAAGAAGGGCCCAGGGUCCAGGGAGCCCCGUGCACAGCCAGCAGCCUCUGGGAAGGGCCGGAGCCUGGCGGGGCAUCAUCCGGAAUGGCUGCCAUGUGUCACAUGUCAAGCUGCCUUGGGAAGAAGAAACUUCCAGCAACUGAAGCUUAGAAGGCUGAGAAACUCUUGCAGUCUCCAAGUUCAUUCUGUCCUUGGUGGUACAGCAGGAGGCAGCAGGACCAGACACACCGCUCAGCUGGUUUGUACCGACUGAGAGAUGUGUUCAUUCACUUGUCAUCAAGUUCAGGGAGCGAAUUCUCCUGGGUGAGUGAAGACAGCUCAUUAACUGGACUCUCCAUGCGGAUAAACCAAAUGCAACCUCAGCAUCUUAUGUAUUGGAUCAGCAGCCGAGACCCGGUGACGCAGGAGCUGUAACCAGAAGUCUCUCUGGGCUGCUUUAAAGCCUGGUGGUUGGUGAACCCCUUGGAAGUGCAGUCAGGGAAAUAUUUAGAGCAGCUUGGAGAACUCAGCCCAAACAUCAGCCCCUGAGGGCCUGCUGAGGCCCAGCCCAGGGGACAGGUCAGGUCAGACAAGGUCUUUCUGUGGAGCAGCCCCAGUUGAGUUAAAGAGGAAGGAAAUUACCCUUGGGACAGGGAAUAAAAAUGGGAGACUGAAUCAGAGACCCAGUAAGCUGGAGGCCAGCGCCACACUGUGGUUGGCAGGAGUCUCCGGGCUGAAUGCCAGGGCCGACGUGGACAGGGCAGGCCUGUUCCUGGGGAUGGUCUGCAGACUGUGGAACUGGGGAAAACUGAGGAGAGGGGCACUGCUAAAACCACUCUGUGCUGUGCUCCUUGUCACCAAGGCAGCGAGGACUCUGGAGGUCUGCUACUCUGAGCAGGGCAACUCCCUAGGCCCCCUGGCUGGGUAGGGCUAAUUACCCCCGCAGGAACCAACCGGGCCCUGUUGAUUUAAAUGUAUGGAAAGCCGCAGCUCCUGUGGCUUCUACCAAAGCAGGAAGUAAACAUCCUUUUUCCCCUUCCAGGUAGUCCAACCCCUACUGACUGGUGUCUCUGAAGCCAGAACAGUUUGAGUUGAGACAAGGUCAGGCUACUGGCCCGCCCUUAGUGCUUGUGUGUGUGUGUGUGCGUGCAUGUGUGUGUGUGUGUGCGUCUUUGCCAGGAGGAAAGGUGUGGCACAGCCUUCAAAUCCCACCAGAGGGACAACUAGCAAUAGAGUCGUCAUGUGUAUGCCAGGCACCUGUCCACCCUUACACACUCCCAUAUUGGAGGGGCUACUGAUAUCCUAACUUUGCCGACUAGGAAGUCACCAAGGUCCCAUCUGGGGAGUGGCAGGGAUAAGACGUGCACCUCUGUGGAGCCUAAAUGUGUACAUGUAGUUGGCAGACACUCACAAAGCUGAAUCAAACACCCUUCAGCUCAGGCGGAAACCCAGCAAGGUUCACGGUGCGGGGAGGGGCUACUCCCAACAAGGCUUGCCUGAAGGGCAGCAGAGAACACGAGGAAGUGGGUGGGGCUCUGCAUUUCUCCCUUUCUGUUGGGUGGAGCCGCUCAGGAGGGCACAGGGGCAGGCCCUGGACUCCUCCCCAGAACAGACACUGCACGGAUCUGUCCAUCACACUGGCUAUCAGUGCCCACUAGGAUCCCUGGAUUACUCCAGGCCAGCUUGGACCUGCUGAAUUCCCAUGUGACACAGCCCACAUCAUUAGAAUGAAGUGAGUUUGUAAAAUGCGUCCAAGUUGGGACUGGCAUGAUGGCAUAGUGGGUUAAGCCACUGCCUGUGACACUAGCAUCCCAUAUGAGCACUAAUUCGAGUCCCAGCUGCUCCAUUAGCACUCGAGCCUCAUCCCCUCCCCCAACUAAUGUGUCCGGGAAAACAGCAGAAGAUGGCCCAAGUACUUGGGUCCUUGUCACCCACCUGGGAGACUUGGCUGGGCUUCCAGGCUUCUGGCUUCUGUCUGGCCCUAUCCUGGCUGUUACCACCAUUUGGGGAGUGAACCAGCGAAUGGAAGCUCUCUCUUUCUCUCCCCCUCUCUAUCUGUAAC